UACGUAGGGGGCAAGCGUUGUCCGGAUUUAUUGGGCGUAAAGAGCGUGUAGGCGGUUCGUUAGGUCCGUUGUGAAAACUCGAGGCUCAACCUCGAGACGCCGAUGGAAACCCCCGAACUAGAGUCCGGAAGAGGAGAGUGGAAUUCAUGGUGUAGCAGUGAAAUGCGUAGAGAUCAUGAGGAAGACCAGUGGCGAAGGCGGGUCUCUGGACAGUUCCUGACACUGAGACACGAAGGCCAGGGGAGCAAACAGG
rnacentral:rRNA from 1 species